CAAAUGACUCUCAGCAACGGAUAUCUUGGCUCUUGCAACGAUGAAGAACGCAGCGAAAUGCGAUACCUAGUGUGAAUUGCAGAAUUCCGUGAA
rnacentral:rRNA from 1 species